UGUUCAUCCUUCUUUCAUUUGUUCACUCAUUCAGCAGUUUUCUAUCAUGCCAUACCACAUGUCAGGCCAUGUUCCGAGCACUCAGUGAACCAGAUGAACAAGAACAGCAGGAGAGAAAACAAUGAACGAGAAAUGAACGCACCAGGAAGGCCUUUUCAGUAGGGAUAACUGCUGUGGACACGUGGAAACAAGCCAUUGCAACAUAUUGUGAACAGCUUUCCAUGUGGUUGAAUGUCAUCACAAAGCGGCUUUUUAAAUGGCUUCGAGUGUCCCGUUUUAUGAAGCUGGCAGCUUUGUCAGGAAAAGAGGGAGCAUUUGAAGUAUCAUUCUGGACCAGCCCCUUCAGGUCCUCCCAGGAAGACACGCUGUCCCAGUUUCGAACAUGUGAUACAAAGAAAGACGUGGGUUCAGCUGGAACAUCAGUGCCGUGUGUGUGCAUCGCCUGCCUCCUGAGUCAGGAGCCAGCUGUGUGGGUGCUACAGCCUGGCCCUUUGGAUCCCAUGGCUGCCGCCUAUUUUCCAAGCCUGUCCAUUUUCCAAGCCUGUUUGCAGCUCCAACAUUUCUUUGAGCUCCCAUCCCCCAGAACUGUUCAGUGCAUGUUGUCUGCUGUUUAAUGUAGAGUCCGUUUCUACUGCUUGUAACCAAGAACCUAGUCUGCUCUCUGGGGAUUAUUAACCCCAGUUUACAGAUAGAGAGGGUGAGCUCUGGGUUAAAGAUCUGAAGCACAAAACUCCCCUCCUAUUGACUUGUGAAUCAA